UUCCAUCGUGGGGCUGAGAAAAGUGGAAAAAUGUGACUUUUUUCAAAUAUUUUUGACGUUUUUCACUUUUCUCAGCCCCAGAACGAAAA
rnacentral:pre_miRNA from 1 species